rnacentral:rRNA from 1 species
GACGAACGCUGGCGGCGUGCUUAACACAUGCAAGUCGAACGGAAAGGCCCCUUUGGGGGUACUCGAGUGGCGAACGGGUGAGUAACACGUGAGUAACCUGCCCUUGACUUCGGGAUAACUUCAGGAAACUGGGGCUAAUACCGGAUAGGAAUCCUUGCUGCAUGGUGGGGGUUGGAAAGCUUCGCGGUUUUGGAUGGACUCGCGGCUUAUCAGCUUGUUGGUGGGGUAGUGGCUUACCAAGGCUUUGACGGGUAGCCGGCCUGAGAGGGCGACCGGCCACAUUGGGACUGAGAUACGGCCCAGACUCCUACGGGAGGCAGCAGUGGGGAAUAUUGCACAAUGGGCGGAAGCCUGAUGCAGCAACGCCGCGUGCGGGAGGACGGCCUUCGGGUUGUAAACCGCUUUCAGCAGGGGCGAAGCUUGUGGUGACGGUACCUGCAGAAGAAGCACCGGCUAACUACGUG